UACGUAGGGUGCAAGCGUUGUCCGGAAUUAUUGGGCGUAAAGAGCUCGUAGGCGGUUUGUCGCGUCUGGUGUGAAAACUCAAGGCUCAACCUUGAGCUUGCAUCGGGUACGGGCAGACUAGAGUGUGGUAGGGGUGACUGGAAUUCCUGGUGUAGCGGUGAAAUGCGCAGAUAUCAGGAAGAACACCCGUGGCGAAGGCGGCUCUCUGGGACGGUACUGACGCUGAGACGCGAAAGCGUGGGGAGCGAACAGG
rnacentral:rRNA from 1 species